CAGCAGCCGCGGGAAUACGGAGGGGGCUAGCGUUGUUCGGAAUUACUGGGCGUAAAGCGCACGUAGGCGGCUUGGUAAGUUAGAGGUGAAAGCCCGGAGCUCAACUCCGGAAUUGCCUUUAAGACUGCCGAGCUAGCAGGUGAGAGAGGUAAGUGGAAUUCCGAGUGUAGAGGUGAAAUUCGUAGAUAUUCGGAAGAACACCAGUGGCGAAGGCGGCUUACUGGCUCAUACUGGACGCUGAGGUGCGAAAGCGCGGGGAGCAAACAGGAUUAGAUACCCCCGUAGUCCCUGUCUCUUAUAC
rnacentral:rRNA from 1 species